ACAUCUUUAAAAAAACAAAUUACAUGUGGCCCACAGUAGUAAACAAAGUGAACAACAACCGAGCUAUAGCAUAAUAAGCAGGACUUUAUAGGUAAUCUAAUCCAUAUAUUCUCAAAUUUGGGCCAGACUUUAGACACUACCCUUUAAAAAAAGUUAUUAGCCAUCGAAAGGAUAGUAUUAUUCUCCACAGUCAACUUUAAAUUUACUCAGAAGCCACCAGCCCAUUCCCCAAGUGUCACUGAUUUUUAGGUUAACCCAGACUUAAGAAUGCUGCCACAGUAGCUUACCAAAGAAGAGAGGACACAAUGACAAUCUUAGUCCUGUUAUGUGACCUAAGAACCUAAACUGAAUUGGAAGGUACCGAGGAAAACUUCUGCCCCACAAGGGGAAUAGACAAGCUGCUGAGGCAGGAGGACCACCAGUUCAAGCUCAGCCUGGGCAACUUAGCGAUUUAGCAAGACCGUGUCUCAAAGUACGUAAAAGAAACUUUUAAAAAGUCUGCAGAUAUGGCUCAGUGAGAAGACCCUGGAUUCAAUCCUCAGUACUGUAGAAACAAAACCUAAACCAAACUGAAACAAAACAUCUGUGAAAAUGAUCACCUCGGGCAAAGG
rnacentral:lncRNA from 1 species